rnacentral:rRNA from 1 species
GAUGAACGCUGGCGGCGUGCCUAAUACAUGCAAGUCGAGCGAACAGACGAGGAGCUUGCUCCUUCGACGUUAGCGGCGGACGGGUGAGUAACACGUAGAUAACCUACCUAUAAGACUGGGAUAACUUCGGGAAACCGGAGCUAAUACCGGAUAAUAUAUCGAACCGCAUGGUUCGAUAGUGAAAGAUGGCUUUGCUAUCACUUAUAGAUGGACCUGCGCCGCAUUAGCUAGUUGGUAAGGUAACGGCUUACCAAGGCAACGAUACGUAGCCGACCUGAGAGGGUGAUCGGCCACACUGGAACUGAGACACGGUCCAGACUCCUACGGGAGGCAGCAGUAGGGAAUCUUCCGCAAUGGGCGAAAGCCUGACGGAGCAACGCCGCGUGAGUGAUGAAGGUCUUCGGAUCGUAAAACUCUGUUAUUAGGGAAGAACAAACGUGUAAGUAGCUGUGCACGUCUUGACGGUACCUAAUCAGAAAGCCACGGCUAACUACGUG